rnacentral:rRNA from 1 species
UACGUAGGGGGCUAGCGUUAUCCGGAAUUACUGGGCGUAAAGGGUGCGUAGGUGGUUCCUUAAGUCAGAGGUGAAAGGCUACGGCUCAACCGUAGUAAGCCUUUGAAACUGGGGAACUUGAGUGCAGGAGAGGAGAGUGGAAUUCCUAGUGUAGCGGUGAAAUGCGUAGAUAUUAGGAGGAACACCAGUUGCGAAGGCGGCUCUCUGGACUGUAACUGACACUGAGGCACGAAAGCGUGGGGAGCAAACAGG